rnacentral:rRNA from 1 species
CGCCGAAAUCUUACCGGGACCGACAGCAAUAUGAAGGCCAGGCUGAAGACUUUGCCGGAUUAGCUGAGAGGUGGUGCAUGGCCGUCGUCAGUUCGUACUGUGAAGCAUCCUGUUAAGUCAGGCAACGAGCGAGACCCACGCCCACAGUUGCCAGCGUACUCUCUGGAGUGACGGGUACACUGUGGGGACCGCCGCUGCUAAAGCGGAGGAAGGAAUGGGCAACGGUAGGUCAGUAUGCCCCGAAUAUCCCGGGCUACACGCGAGCUACAAUGGUCAGGACAAUGGGUAUCGACACCGAGAGGUGGAGGCAAUCUCCUAAACCUGUCCUUAGUUCGGAUUGUGGGCUGCAACUCGCCCACAUGAAGCUGGAAUCCGUAGUAAUCGCGUUUCAAAAUAGCGCGGUGAAUAUGUCCCUGCUCCUU